UACAGAGGGGGCAAGCGUUGUUCGGAAUUACUGGGCGUAAAGGGCGCGUAGGCGGCCUGCUAAGUCGAACGUGAAAUCCCCGGGCUCAACCCGGGAACUGCGUCCGAUACUGGUAGGCUUGAAUUCGGGAGAGGGAUGCGGAAUUCCAGGUGUAGCGGUGAAAUGCGUAGAUAUCAGUCGGAACACCGGUGGCGAAGGCGGCUUCUUGGGCCGUUCCUGACGCUGAGGCGCGAAAGCUGGGGGAGCGAACGGG
rnacentral:rRNA from 1 species